GAGUGGGGAAGUUCUGAGCAGGGACUGGCCCGUGGGCGGGGCUCCACGCCGAGGGCCGGAGUGCGUUCCCGCCAGGCUCUGGGAGGGGCUUCACAGGAGGUGAGGAACCCCAGCGGACCAGGAAGGAAGGGAGGAAAUCUUGCUCACGAGCUUCCGGGUGGGGGACAGAAUCAAUGGGACUGCACGGACAAGGGAGAACAAACUAUGCCUAUUGGAAUGAUAACGCCAAACUUCCUAGAAGUGCCAAUUAGAUCUCCUCCGUCCUGGUGUGGCUAGUGAGCGAAAACGCCUCAAGAGCAGACUUUGGCUCACUCAUAUUGCUGCAAAUGAUCUGCACCUGAUUCUCACUGCAGCUCUGGCUAAAAGCAACCAGGAAUUCAUGCCACAGCUGAAUGUUGGGCUCCCUUGAAAUCUCCUCCACCAGAUCAAUUAGUCCAUCACCCUAAAUCUCAGUCUGCCAGUCUUAGGACAUGAGCAAAAGAUUAAAUAAACUUUUUGCCAAAGUA